GGUAGGAAAAACGAAUGGUGGUA
rnacentral:siRNA from 1 species